ACAUCUUUCGAGGUUAAUUCGUCGUAACACCCUGUUUACGACAAAUUAACCUCGAAUAGUGUCUUCGUAAAAAAUAUGUUUUCUUGUAGUGACCUUGUAAUUAUUCAAAGUUUUGACAGAUUCUUUUGAGGAGCAUGUAUUUGUCGUGGGCGGUGGGUUUAAGGAAAAAUAUAGACAUAGCAGUGGGGCCCACAAUGUAUGGGGCCCAUUUAAAAAAAAAUAGUUAACGUUGUAAGUGUCGAUCUCUAGAUUAUUUAGGGUUUUUUUUUUUCUUUUCUUUUUGGUUAACUUAUUCUUACAAAAUCCUUUCAUCUUCUUUCUCUAGACUCUAAAUCAAGGAAAAUUCCUUUUUACAUCAGAAACUUCGAUUUGAUCACUCUAGUCUCUCUGGUUCACUCUUUCUUUGGGAAUUCAUAUAAUUAUAAGGUGAUAUUUUUCUGUUUAUUUGAUAUUUUGCUUAAAUCAUGACUGGUGAUUCAGGAUGUCAAAAAAGAAAAAAAAGAAAGGUAGCAGAAUUAUUCUUAAAAUCUCAGAAAGGUUCUAUGGAUAGAUUUGUGAUAAAAAAAAUGUUAAUGAAAAUCCUGAAUCUGCUACUAAAGAUAAUAGUACUGAAUCAAAAGAUCAUUUUGAUGAUAGUAUUAGUCACUUGAGUGAGCAUGAUAAUGUGUUAGAUGAAUCUAAUGUUGAAAGUAUGAAUGUUGAUGAACAAAAAAAGCUCAUUCAUCGAUAUAUAUGAUCCUAGGUAUUGGAAUAACCUUGAUAAUAAAAUGAAAGAUUUGUUGGUUGAAAAAGGGUUUAAAAGAGAAAUGAAUCUUUUGUGUCCCUUAGAUAAGAGCUCUAGACGUUUUUCAAAUGUUUAUUAUUCUAGGAAAUUGAGUAAUGGGGAAAUUAGUGAUAGAAAUAGGCUGGUUUAUUCGAAACAUGAGGAUAAAUGUUACUGUUUUUGUUGCAAGUUGUUUAAAUCUGGUGUUUCCUUAAGUUCGUUAGCUAAUGAUGGAUUAAUAGAUUGGAAGCAUCUUAGUGAUAGGCUUAAACACCAUGAAAUAAGUGCAGAUCAUAUGACUAACAUGAAAACUUGGAAUGAAUUGAAAGUUAGAUUCGAAAAAAAUUUGACGAUU